rnacentral:rRNA from 1 species
GUGGGUAGUUUGACUGGGGCGGUCUCCUCCUAAAGAGUAACGGAGGAGCACGAAGGUUGGCUAAUCCUGGUCGGACAUCAGGAGGUUAGUGCAAUGGCAUAAGCCAGCUUGACUGCGAGCGUGACGGCGCGAGCAGGUGCGAAAGCAGGUCAUAGUGAUCCGGUGGUUCUGAAUGGAAGGGCCAUCGCUCAACGGAUAAAAGGUACUCCGGGGAUAACAGGCUGAUACCGCCCAAGAGUUCAUAUCGACGGCGGUGUUUGGCACCUCGAUGUCGGCUCAUCACAUCCUGGGGCUGAAGUAGGUCCCAAGGGUAUGGCUGUUCGCCAUUUAAAGUGGUACGCGAGCUGGGUUUAGAACGUCGUGAGACAGUUCGGUCCCUAUCUGCCGUGGGCGCUGGAGAACUGAGGGGGGCUGCUCCUAGUACGAGAGGACCGGAGUGGACGCAUCACUGGUGUUCGGGUUGUCAUGCCAAUGGCACUGCCCGGUAGCUAAAUGCGGAAGAGAUAAGUGCUGAAAGCAUCUAAGUACGAAACUUGCCCCGAGAUGAGUUCUCCCUGAGACUUUAGGUCUCCUGAAGGAACGUUGAAGACG